rnacentral:misc_RNA from 1 species
CGCACAUUGCGCCCCUCGGUACUCCGGGGGGCAUGCCUGUCCGAGCGUCAUUGAAAACCAUCAAGCCUGGCUUGGUCUUGGGCGCGGUCUUGGGACCCGCCCGCAACCCGUCGGCGGUGCCGUUCGGCCCUGAGCGUAGCAAAACCUCUCGCUCGAGGGUCGCGGCGGUGCCCGCUAGGAGCACACUCCUCAAGUUUGACCUCGGAUCAGGUAGGGAUACCCGCUGAACUUAA